ensembl:lncRNA
CUGAUCUCCUCAGGAUUGUGUUAUUCUUCUGGAUUGAUUGGUCUCCACACCACCAUCCCUUUGAUUUCACCACAGAAAGGGCUUCUGUGAGAGCCUCGUGCUCUCUGUGAGGAUCCUGUGGGCUCCAUUAGUGAGCAAGAGCUGUGGCUCUUUGUUGGAGCUCUGGGCAAGAGGACGGGAGUCUCUGUGGGAGUCUCACUGCACUAGACACGCCAAUGGAAGACUCAUGCAAUAAAACACAAUAAACAACCCACUCCACAGGCAUUAUGGGCUGACGUGUGGAAUAACAACAGCUUAAUGCUUGACAAUGUAUUGAUCUUUGGCACUGACAGCCUGCAUUACAUAAAUCAAAAGCAAGAGUUCCUGUAUCAUUUUGUCAGAUGUUGUUGUUGUGUGUCGGAUUAGCAGGUCAGCACAUGGAUUACGAACCUGAAGAACUCGAGAGAAAACUCUCUGCAGAAGUGGAACGGUUGUCAUUCACAAAUUUUGCAGUCACCUUCGCAUGUUCAUUUAUUAAAAAUAUUGAUUCAUUUGAUAAUGCUUGUAGUUUCAGCACGACUGUAACACUCUCUGCAUAAGAGUGUGAACACAUUUACCGUUGUAAGGCAAAAUUCUGCUGGUGCAUUAGGAAUCUGAUGGGUUUGGGCAUUUUUAGUGAUGGACGUGUUCCCCACACAUUUGGUUAACUUUGGACAGAAAAUGACCAACAAAAAACGACUUAGUUUGGAAAUGACCUGAGUAAGCGGUGCUUCAUGCA